rnacentral:rRNA from 1 species
UACGUAGGGUGCGAGCGUUGUCCGGAAUUAUUGGGCGUAAAGAGCUUGUAGGCGGUUUGUCGCGUCUGCUGUGAAAAUCCGGGGCUCAACCCCGGACUUGCAGUGGGUACGGGCAGACUAGAGUGUGGUAGGGGAGACUGGAAUUCCUGGUGUAGCGGUGAAAUGCGCAGAUAUCAGGAGGAACACCGAUGGCGAAGGCAGCUCGCUGGGACGUUACUGACACUGAGGCGCGAAAGCGUGGGGAGCGAACAGG